rnacentral:rRNA from 1 species
CCCUAGUAACUGCGAGUGAAGCGGGAAAAGCUCAAAUUUAAAAUCUGGCGGUCUUUGGCCGUCCGAGUUGUAGUCUGGAGAAGUGCUUUCCGCGCUGGACCGUGUAUAAGUCUCUUGGAACAGAGCGUCAUAGAGGGUGAGAAUCCCGUCUUUGACACGGACUACCAGUGCUUUGUGAUGCGCUCUCAAAGAGUCGAGUUGUUUGGGAAUGCAGCUCAAAAUGGGUGGUGAAUUCCAUCUAAAGCUAAAUAUUGGCGAGAGACCGAUAGCGAACAAGUACCGUGAGGGAAAGAUGAAAAGCACUUUGGAAAGAGAGUUAAACAGUACGUGAAAUUGCUGAAAGGGAAACGCUUGAAGUCAGUCGCGUUGUCUGGGACUCAGCCUAGCUUUUGCUUGGUGCACUUUCCGGAUGACGGGCCAGCAUCGAUUUUGACCGUCGGAAAAGGGCUAGGGUAAUGUGGCACCUCCGGGUGUGUUAUAGACUUUAGUCGCAUACGGCGGUCGGGAUCGAGGAACGCAGCGCGCCGUAAGGCAGGGGUUCGCCCACUUUCGCGCUUAGGAUGCUGGCGUAAUGGCUUUAAACGACCCGUCUUGAAACACGGACCAAGGAGUCUAACAUACCUGCGAGUGUUUGGGUGGAAAACCCGAGCGCGUAAUGAAAGUGAAAGUUGAGACCUCUGUCGUGGAGGGCAUCGACGCCCGGACCUGACGUUCUCUGACGGAUCCGCGGUAGAGCAUGUAUGUUGGGACCCGAAAGAUGGUGAACUAUGCCUGAAUAGGGUGAAGCCAGAGGAAACUCUGGUGGAGGCUCGUAGCGAUUCUGACGUGCAAAUCGAUCGUCAAAUUUGGGUAUAGGGGCGAAAGACUAAUCG